rnacentral:lncRNA from 1 species
GCAAAUCUUUCUGGCUUUCCCAAGAAUCUGUGAUGGGAAAUUGGCAAUUUGGAAACAAUGUGAGAGAUGGAUCUAACAUAGCAGUGACUCUUUUGGAAGAUUUUUAGUGUUGGGGAAAGAACUUCUCAGGGGUCCGAAGAGAGGAAAUUUAGGUGGUGAAGCAUGAACUCAUAUCCCCAGAGCUCAAGAAUGGCUGUCCUGGAGGUCGAGGGAACUGACAGGUGGAGACCAGUGAUGUUACUGCUUCCAAACUCAGCACCUAAACAUCUGCAUUGCUCAUUGGCUAUUAGUCAUAUAAUGCCUGUUCCAGUUUUCUGUUAUCCCUGGCUAAAUCUUAGACAGGCAUGCUUCAGAGAUAUUGCAAGUUUGGUUCCAGACAACUACAAUAAAUCUAAUACUGAAACAAAAGUGAGUCACAUGAAUUGACUGCCUCUUCUUUUCAUGAAUUAUUUCUCUGUAGCAUGCAAUGCUAUUUGAUAACAUUUUAUACAGAGAACUUCUUUCAACUUUGGAGUCAGUUUUCUCAAACAGUGUUGCUGCUCUAUCAACUAAGUUUAUGAAAUAUACUAAAUUUUAUGUUGUUAUUUCAAUAAUAUUCACAGCAUCUUCACCAGGAAUAGAUUCUAUCUCAAGAAACUGCUUUCUUUGCUCAUAUCUAAGAAGGAAUUCCUCAUUUGUUAAAGUUUUAUCAUGGGAUUGUGGCAAUUUUGGUCAGAUCUUGAAGCUCUACUUCUAAUUCUAAUACUCCUGCUAUUUCUACCACAUUUGCAGUUAUUUCCUACAAUGAAGUUUUGAAGCCCUCAAAGUUAUCCAUGAGGUUUGGAAUCAACUUCUUCCAAACUUCUGUUAAGUGUUGAUAUUUUGAUCUCUUCUCACGACUCACAAAUGUUCCUAAUGGCAUCUAGAAUAGUGAAUUCUUUCCAGAGAUUUUUAAUUUAUUUUGCCCAGAUCCAUCAGAGGAAUCACUAUCUGUCGCAGCUAUAGCCUUACCAAAUGUAUUUCUUAUAGAAUAAGACUUGAAAGUAAGUGUGAUUCCUUGAUCCAUGGACUGUAGAAUGGAUGUCGUGUUAGCAGCCAUGAAAACAACAUUAAUUUCAUUUUAAAUCUCCAUUAGAGCUCUUAAGUGACCAGGUGCAUUGUCAGUGAGCAGAAAUAUUUUGAAAGGAAUCUUUGUUUCUGAGCAGUAAGUCUCAAGAGUGGGCUUAAAAUAUUCAGUUAAAUCAAGUUGUAAACAGAUGUGCUAUCAUCCAGGCUUUGUUGUUCCAUUUAUAGAGCACAGACAGAGUAGAUUUAGCAUAAUACUUAAGGGCCCUAGGAUUUCCCAGUGGUAAAGAACGUUGGCUUCAACUUAAAGUCACCAGCUGCAUUGGCCCCUAAGAAGAAAGGCAGCCUCUGAAGUCUCUGAAGCUUUGAAGCCAGGCAUUGACUUCUCCUCACUAGCUACAAGAGUCGUAGAUGGAGUCUCCUUCCAAUAUAAGGCUGUUUUAUCUACAUUGACUAUCUGUUUAGUUAGCCACCUUCGUGAAUCAUCUUAGCUAUACCUUCUGGGUAUCUUGCUGCAGCUGCUAUAACAACACAACUUGCUGCUGCACCUUGUACUUUUAUGUUGUGGAGACAGCUUCUUUCCUUAAAAUUCACUGACCUGGAGUUCCCGUAGUGGCGCAGUGGUUAACGAAUCUGACUAGGAACCAUGAGGUUGCGGGUUCGGUCCCUGCCCUUGCUCAGUGGGUUGACGAUCCGGCGUUGCCGUGGGCUGUGGUGUAGGUUGCAGACGUGGCUCGGAUCCCGCGUUGCUGUGGCUCUGGCGUAGGCCGGUGGCUACAGCUCCGAUUCCGCCCCUAGCCUGGGAACCUCCAUAUGCCGCGGGAGCGGCCCCAGAAAUAGCAACAACAACAACAACCAAAAAGACAAAAGACAAAAAAAAAAAAAAAAAAAAAAAAAAAAAAAAAUUCGCUGACCAACCUCUGCUAGCUUGUACCUUUUCUUCUGCAGCUUCUUAACCUCUUUCAGCCUUCAUAGAACUGAGGAGAGUUAGGGCCUUUCUCUGAAUUAAGCUGUGAUAAGGGAAUGUUUUGGCUGUUUGGUCUUCUAUCCUGAUCACUCAGACUUCUCCUUAUUAGCGAUAAGAUUGUUCCACUUUCUUGUUAUUGCUGUGUUCACUGGAAUAGCACAUUUAACUUCCUUCAAGAACUUUUCCUUUGCAUUUGCAACUUAUCUAACUCUUUGGUGCAAGAGAACUAGCUUUCAACCUGUCUUGGCUUUCAAUAUGCCUUUCUCACUAAGCUUAAUCAUUUCUAGCUUUUGAUUUAAAGGAAGAGGCUCUUCCUUUUCCUUGAACAUUUAGAGGCCACUGUAGGGUUAUUAAUCAGUCUAUUUUCAAUACUGUUUUGUCUCAGGGAAUAGGGAGAGGAGAAGGAGGGAGAUGGUGCAUUGGUCAGAACUUACACAAUAUUUCUUGAUUAAGCUCACUGUCUUAUGUGGGUGUGGUUUGUGUUAUCCCAAAAUAAUUACAAUAGUAACAUCAAAGCUCACUGAUCACAGAUCACCAUGACACACGCAAUAGUAACAAAAAAGUUUGAAAUAUUGCAAGAAUUACCAAAAUGUGACACAGAGACACAACAUGAGAAAAUGCUUUUGGAAAAAUGGUGCCAAUAGAUUUGCUCUACCCAGAGUGGCCACAAAACUUUAAUUUGAAAAAAAAA